GAGUAAAUGUGAGCCGAAAUUUAACAUGUAAAUAAGUUUGCCUCAAAAGCGACUGAUGCCCCCAAAGUCCUCCAAAGAAGAAAUCAUUUGAAUUUAUGUGCUGGCUAUCAACUGGCGAGUGUCUAAUCCGAAAAUUCUUGUGAAAUUGCCAAGUCCCUGUUGGCCUGUGUAUCGAGCUAAGCCAUUUUUAUUAGCCAUUUGGCAGGGCAGCGAAAAGUUUUUGGUCAAUGCUCAAGUGGGCGGCUUUCAUUGGCGCUUAACUAACUGAAAUUAAGCCUUCUCCGGAUUCUCUGGAUUGUACACGCACAUACAAUCACAGAAGCACACACACACUCGCACACACACUCAGACACUCACAUGCAUAUCAUGAAAACUAAUUAACAUUCUAGGGGGCCAUGAAAAACGCAUGCAAUAAAUAUCAUUAAUGGUAGCAAAGAACUUUAUUAAAAGUACUUUUAAUCCAAUUCCAAUGGGGCUACUGUUGCUUCUGCUUUUCACUGGGGAUAACAUUUGAGGCCUGAUUAACUUUAUAACCCGCAUGAGGGGCGAGUGUUGGCAGUUGCUUUGUAACCAUGCUAUCCACUGAUUGUUGCUACCUCAAAAGAGUUAUGAGUGCCUUAUGAGAACUGGUAGUGAUACACUCGUA